UGGGAAUUUGGACAAUGGGCGAAGCCUGAUCCAGCAAUGCCGCGUGUGUGAAGAAGGCCUUCGGGUUGUAAAGCACUUUUGUCCGGAAAGAAAUCCUUGGCUCUAAUACAGUCGGGGGAUGACGGUACCGGAAGAAUAAGCACCGGCUAACUACGUGCCAGCAGCCGCGGUAAUACGUAGGGUGCAAGCGUUAAUCGGAAUUACUGGGCGUAAAGCGUGCGCAGGCGGUUUGCUAAGACCGAUGUGAAAUCCCCGGGCUCAACCUGGGAACUGCAUUGGUGACUGGCAGGCUAGAGUAUGGCAGGAGGGGGGUUAGAAUUCCACGUGUAGCAGUGAAAUGCGUAGAGAUGUGGAGGAAUACCGAUGGCGAAGGCAGCCCCCUGGGCCAAUACUGACGCUCAUGCACGAAAGCGUGGGGAGCAAAACAGGAUUAGAUACCCUGGUAGUCCACGCCCUAAAACGAUGUCAACUAGUUGUUGGGGAUUCAUUUCCUUAGUAACGUAGCUAACGCGUGAAGUUGACCGCCUGGGGAGUACGGUCGCAAGAUU
rnacentral:rRNA from 1 species